AUUGAACGCUGGCGGCAUGCCUUACACAUGCAAGUCGAACGGUAACGGGCCUUCGGGUGCCGACGAGUGGCGAACGGGUGAGUAAUGUAUCGGAACGUACCUUUCAGUGGGGGAUAACGUAGCGAAAGUUACGCUAAUACCGCAUAUUCUGUGAGCAGGAAAGCAGGGGAUCGCAAGACCUUGCGCUGAUUGAGCGGCCGAUAUCAGAUUAGCUAGUUGGUGAGGUAAAGGCUCACCAAGGCGACGAUCUGUAGCGGGUCGGAGAGGAUGAUCCGCCACACUGGAACUGAGACACGGUCCAGACUCCUACGGGAGGCAGCAGUGGGGAAUUUUGGACAAUGGGGGCAACCCUGAUCCAUCCAUGCCGCGUGAGUGAAGAAGGCCUUCGGGUUGUAAAGCUCUUUCGGCCGGGAAGAAAUCGUAUCAGCUAAUACCUGGUGCGGAUGACGGUACCGGCAUAAGAAGCACCGGCUAACUACGUGCCAGCAGCCGCCGUAACAC
rnacentral:rRNA from 1 species